UACGGAGGGUGCAAGCGUUGUCCGGAUUUAUUGGGCUUAAAGGGCGCGUAGGCGGCUCGUUAAGUCAGUGGUGGAAGCCUCCAGCUCAACUGGAGAACUGCCAUUGAUACUGACGGGCUUGAGUACAGACGAGGUUGGCGGAAUUGAUUGUGUAGCGGUGAAAUGCAUAGAUACAAUCAAGAACUCCGAUUGCGUAGGCAGCUAACUAGGCUGUAACUGACGCUGAGGCACGAAAGCGUGGGGAGCGAACAGG
rnacentral:rRNA from 1 species